AGAGAGAAAGAGACCAGAGAGAGAGAGACCAGAGAGAAAGAGAGCGAGAGACCAGAGAGAGAGAGAGAGAGAGACCAGAGAGAAAGAGAGACCAGAGAGAGAGAGAGAGAGACCAGAGAGAAAGAGAGAGAGAGAGAGACCAGAGAGAGAGAGACCAGAGAGAAAGAGAGCGAGAGACCAGAGAGAGAGAGACCAGAGAGCGAGAGACCAGUAAAAAAGAGAAGAGAGCGAGAGACCAGAGAGAAAGAGAGCGAGAGAGAGAGAGACCAGAGAGCGAGAGACCAGAGAGAAAGAGAGCAGAGAGAAAGAGAGUGAGAGACCAGAGAGAAAGAGAGCGAGAGACCAGAGAGAGAGAGACCAGAGAGAGAGAGACCAGAGAGCGAGAGAGAGCAAGAGACCAGAGAGAGAGAGACCAGAGAGCGAGAGACCAGAGAGAGAGAGCGAGAGAGCGAGCAGGAAACAGAAGAGCAGAGGAGCUGCACUGAUAAACAAGAGAAAAGAAUAGUUGGAUGAGGAUGGAAAGACCUACAUAGAACACUAUCAGAGAUCAGUGUGUAUGGACAGCAGGACACAGGAAAUGCCUCACUGGAGCCAUUGCAUCACUUCCUGGUGUCGAUC
rnacentral:lncRNA from 1 species